rnacentral:rRNA from 1 species
UACGGAGGGGGCUAGCGUUGUUCGGAAUUACUGGGCGUAAAGCGCACGUAGGCGGCUUUGUAAGUUAGAGGUGAAAGCCCGGGGCUCAACUCCGGAAUUGCCUUUAAGACUGCAUCGCUAGAAUUGUGGAGAGGUAAGUGGAAUUCCGAGUGUAGAGGUGAAAUCCGUAGAUAUCGGGAGGAACACCAGUGGCGAAGGCGGCAUCCUGGCCCUGACCGUGACGCUGAGGCGGCGAAGAGCGUGGGGAGCAAACGGG